rnacentral:rRNA from 1 species
UACGUAGGGUGCGAGCGUUGUCCGGAAUUAUUGGGCGUAAAGGGCUCGUAGGCGGUCUGUCACGUCGGGAGUGAAAACACGGGGCUUAACCCCGUGCCUGCUUCCGAUACGGGCAGACUAGAGGUAUGCAGGGGAGAACGGAAUUCCUGGUGUAGCGGUGAAAUGCGCAGAUAUCAGGAGGAACACCGGUGGCGAAGGCGGUUCUCUGGGCAUUACCUGACGCUGAGGAGCGAAAGCCAGGGGAGUGAACGGG